rnacentral:rRNA from 1 species
UGGGGAAUUUUGGACAAUGGGCGAAAGCCUGAUCCAGCAAUGCCGCGUGUGUGAAGAAGGCCUUCGGGUUGUAAAGCACUUUUGUCCGGAAAGAAAUCCUUGGCUCUAAUACAGUCGGGGGAUGACGGUACCGGAAGAAUAAGCACCGGCUAACUACGUGCCAGCAGCCGCGGUAAUACGUAGGGUGCAAGCGUUAAUCGGAAUUACUGGGCGUAAAGCGUGCGCAGGCGGUUUGCUAAGACCGAUGUGAAAUCCCCGGGCUCAACCUGGGAACUGCAUGGUGACUGGCAGGCUAGAGUAUGGCAGAGGGGGGUAGAAUUCCACGUGUAGCAGUGAAAUGCGUAGAGAUGUGGAGGAAUACCGAUGGCGAAGGCAGCCCCCUGGGCCAAUACUGACGCUCAUGCACGAAAGCGUGGGGAGCAAACAGGAUUAGAUACCCUGGUAGUCCACGCCCUAAAACGAUGUCAACUAGUUGUUGGGGAUUCAUUUCCUUAGUAACGUAGCUAACGCGUGAAGUUGACCGCCUGGGGAGUACGGUCGCAAGAUUAAAACUCAAAGGAAUUGACGGGGUCAUAGCUGUUUCCU